GAUUGGUGCUUGCAUCAUGAUUUACAUUUGAGUGAGUGGCGAACUGGUGAGUAACACGUGGGAAACCUGCCCAGAAGCGGGGGAUAACACCUGGAAACAGAUGCUAAUACCGCAUAACAACUUGGACCGCAUGGUCCGAGUUUGAAAGAUGGCUUCGGCUAUCACUUUUGGAUGGUCCCGCGGCGUAUUAGCUAGAUGGUGGGGUAACGGCUCACCAUGGCAAUGAUACGUAGCCGACCUGAGAGGGUAAUCGGCCACAUUGGGACUGAGACACGGCCCAAACUCCUACGGGAGGCAGCAGUAGGGAAUCUUCCACAAUGGACGAAAGUCUGAUGGAGCAACGCCGCGUGAGUGAAGAAGGGUUUCGGCUCGUAAAACUCUGUUGUUAAAGAAGAACAUAUCUGAGAGUAACUGUUCAGGUAUUGACGGUAUUUAACCAGAAAGCCACGGCUAACUACGUGCCAGCAGCCGCGGUAAUACGUAGGUGGCAAGCGUUGUCCGGAUUUAUUGGGCGUAAAGCGAGCGCAGGCGGUUUUUUAAGUCUGAUGUGAAAGCCUUCGGCUCAACCGAAGAAGUGCAUCGGAAACUGGGAAACUUGAGUGCAGAAGAGGACAGUGGAACUCCAUGUGUAGCGGUGAAAUGCGUAGAUAUAUGGAAGAACACCAGUGGCGAAGGCGGCUGUCUGGUCUGUAACUGAC
rnacentral:rRNA from 1 species